UUUAACAUUCCCCCUUUCAGACUAUUCAUGUGAGUAAGCCAAGCUGAGAAAAACCUAAGACUAGUUUUGUCAGCGCUGACCCACACCAUCUUCCCAGAGGAUAAAGAAGACCUGAGUGAACCAGGAAGGGCGGGCGCAGGGAGGGCUUUGGGUCUGCCGCGCUGUGCUGAUGUGUUUGUAGGAGAGUUUACCCCCAACAGACUGGGGUGGAGGACUUCUCACUGAGGCAGAGUAAGAAGAGCUCACGGGAUUUCAGAGAGCUUGGCAACUGUUCUCUGGAAUCCAGAGAAUGUGGGGAUGACUCAGGAUGACUCAUGUGUGAGUUUAAAGAUAAGAGGUUGGGUCUUGAUCUGCGGGAGAGGCAGUAGGGAGAUCCACUCUGUGCUUCCGUUUCUAGCGGUUAAAGGUCUUUGUUCGCAGCGGACUCGAAUUAGUACCGAGGACAGCUCGCCUGGCUCACCCUAACUCCUCCAGGAGGACCGUUAAAUGUGCGGUAGACGCCAGCAAAAACCUGAGGCUGUCACCUUUCCUAAUGGGAGAAGUCAGCAACUGACGGGAAGGCACUAUGUAUGACAGGAGAAAGGUCGCCAUCCAGCCUUUAGUGUGGGAUCUUAGAGGACCACACACCGAUAUCUGGCCAGCUCUGGACUCCUGCUGUGUGGGAGGGAUCCUAGCUUCACACCCUGACUGCAUCAUUCAAGACAGAUCCCUAUGAGGAAGACAGAUUAAUACAAGAGAAUCAAACAGAAGCGUAUGGAAAUGUGUUCAUCAUACACGCUAGGGGAUGCUCGGGAUGUGUAAUUCUCCAAGAGUCUCAAGGGAGGAGGGCACAGUUUUAAAGACCCGAGAAGAGAAAGAACAGGACGGCAGCUCGUGGCAAGGCGGGGACGUGACUUUGAUGUGGAUGUUCCCCGGGUGCUUCUUCUGUGUAAACAGGGCCUGCAGCUGUCUUUGGUGACCAACCUUCUUCAUCCGUCCUGCCCCACAGACAAAAUUUGCAUCAGGCCUAUGGACUCUCUAUUGUCUGUGUGAGGCUACUUUUUCAUCACGAGAGCAGUUCGGAGCCAGGCGCUAACAGUUCACUGACUGUGGGAUGGAGUCAAAGGAGGAAAUCAGAGUCAAAGGAAUAAGUGGUGGUUGGCGUGAGUUCGAGGCCAGCCCGAUCGACAGAGUGAGUUCCA